UCGCUCUUUUGCUGCUGCCGCAGUAUUGCUUUUGUCUUUUGAAAAUAUGCUAAUUUUCUGCAUACGUGGUCAUUAAUAUUUCCAACUCCACUGGAGACAAGUAGGAGGAUCGAGGCUUUUUUUCACCUGUUGACAUGGUGGAUCAUGUUAUCUGUGUUCCAUUGAUGAGGGCUUUUUAUAUCCUCAUGCACGAGCUUCACUCAGGGUAACCUUGACUCAGAGUUUGACAGCUCAGAGUUGGUCAACCUAGAGUUCAGGUUUUGACUCAGAGUUUGUUAAACUUGCUUCCUGAAACAGGCCCCAGAUCAGGGCUGUGGAUUUUGUUUUUGUACUUGCCAUCAUCCCCAUUAUGGCCUUUAAGGGCUUCCAUAGCUGUCUGAAGAGGAGGGAUAACCCUUCCAUUUCUUCCUUUUUAAUGGAGCUUUAUCAAUGUUUGGACCUAAUGUGAGAUUGAAUUUACCGGUAAUAUCUUAAUGUCUCUCAAACAUACAACCAAAGCAAGGAAUAUAAAAUAAAUACAUUCAAAAUGUAUUAUUAUAAAUAUAUUCAAAUGAACACAUGCUUGUCACAGGAGGAGCUGAAUUGCAGCACCGCUGAAGAAAGCUAAUUGGAGCUGAUCAACAACAGCUGUGCCACAUGCAUUUAUUAGUGGCACAGGUAACAUUUCCUGUUGGUGACUGAUGCAAUGGGAGCUAUUUGGGCCUUCUUUGUUUGUGUCCUGACUGUUUGUCUUGCCAAAGGUUUUCACAUUUCUUUCUAUUUCAAGCUUCUGUUAAAGAAACAUGGUAAUGGAGUAUAGAAACUGUAAGAGCUCUUGUUUGCCAAUUGGUGGGACAAAUAAAAGGAAUGAUCAUGCGCUUUGGAGGAAGAUGGAAAGUAAGAACAUGUGUGCCCAAAUCCUUUGUGAGCUACUUUCUUGCACUAACUUAAUUUCCUUUUGUACAACAGAUUUUUCUCCCAGUGAGCUCUUAUUAAAGAAGGCCAUUGCACUUCUCCAGGCAAUGGAGCCCAUGCUGGUGCAGGAAGCUAAAGAAGCAGGCGGCCUCCACACCAUCCGCAGCAGGACUGCUGCCGAUGGCGCCAGCACCCAGAACAACGGCAGGCGCAUCGCGGCAGAUGGUGCCGGCAUCUUUGCAGGAAUUGGCGCCGGUAAUGAUGGGGGCAUCUUCGCAGGCAUUGGCACCGGCAAUGAUGGCGGCAUCUUUGCUGGCAAUGACGGCGGCAUCUUUGCCGGCAAUGCCGGCGGCAUCUUCGCCGGCAAUGAUGGCGGCAUCUUCGCCGGCAACGACGGUGGCCUCUUCGCUGGCAAGGGCGUGAUCUUCACCGGCAAGGGGGCCCGCAAAGGCGGAAUCUUCGCCGGCAAUGGCGCUGGCAAUGGCGCCAGCAAUGGUGGCACCUUUGCCGGCAAAGUCUUCUCCUCUGGCAAAUUUCCCUCCAGCAACUUUGUGGCUGACAGCGGCGGCAGCAGAUACAAUAGCGGCAUCAGCAGUGCUGCAGGCAAUGAUGGCACCAUGUUCGUCGACGACGAUGGCACCAUCUUUGUUGGCAACGAUGGCGGCAUCUUCGACGGCAAGGGCGGAAUCUUCGCUGGCAACGGCAUCGGCAACGGUGUCGGCAAGGGCCGCAUCUUCGUCGGCAAGGGCAUUGGCAAGGGCGGCAUCUAUGCCGGCAACGGCAAGGGCGGCAUCUACGUCGGCAACGGCAUUGGCAAGGGCGGCAUCUUCGCUGGCAAUGGCGGCUAAUCUCCUCUGGCAACAAAUUUCCUUUCGGCAAAUUCGCGUCUGACAGCGGCAGCAACAACUACAGCAACCGCAUCCAUAGCACAGCGUCCGACAGCGCAGCAGUGGCAGCCACAGCCACAGCGCAGCCAACAGCGGCGGCAUCUUCCCCAGCAUCGACGGCAGUGAUGCCGGCCUCUUCCCCGAAAAUGUCAUCAACUGCAGCAGUAACGUGGCCACUACCACCGGACUCCAGAACUGAUCACAAUCUCCUGUGACCACACCGCUAAAGUAGGGAAUAGGUUUGUGGAAUCAUCCAGGAGUUCAGUUGAAGACAUUUCUGUAUGUCCCAAGUUUUCUGCUUUAAAUAAAAUGAUUGGAAACUUGGUGUUGUUUGCAAGCAUUUUGAGACCUUAUGGCCAGUUAGUGUUACUUAGUUUCUUAGUGUUACUAAGGUAACCCCAAAACAGUAUUAUACAGUUGGAUUUCUUUUUCAAAAUCACUGAUAUUUUCUCGUACAAUCCUAAUGUGUUCCCUCUGUUUUAAUGGCUUUGUGUUUUUAAAGAUUUAAAUCUGUGCAAGCACAAAUGCCUUAGCAAUGGGUAAUGCUACUCCAUGAAAGCAAGAAGUCAUUUUAUUUUGUAUUGCUAAAAUUCAAAAUGGACCGGAUAAUGCCAUAAAUUUCAUUUUAUGAACUGUAAGUAUAAAACAUCUGUCACUACAUUAUUUUUAUUACACCAUUGAUACAGAGACUUGCAUUGUAAUUGUUUAUUGAUAAUGGUGUCCAUGAUAAAGAAUAUAGGGUUAAAUGACAGUAUGCCUAUUUUGAUUUUUAUUUUUAUUUUUCAAUGUGUACAAUAUGAAUUUGGUAAAAUAUCACAUUUGGCUGUAGAUGUUUUCACAACAGAAUUGCAGAGAGAGGCUGAUGCUGUUGUUGCCAUUUGCUGUGAUGAUAUCACGGGUAUUGGAGAUGGAGUUAAGUAAAGAUGAAGGUUUAACAUGAAAAUGGCAUGUGCCUAGAAAACAAAUACACACUGCAGAUGCUUUGUAUGGAGCCGUUUUGCAUUUCUUGGCUGUAGUUUUUCUCUCUGCAUUUGUUUUGCAGUUGCUGUUUGCUUCCAUCCAUGUGGAAUUUAUGUCAAUCUUUUGGUUCCUCAGCCUUUACUGACUAAAUAUGAGGUGAAUCUGGCUUAUCUAUUUAAAGUUAUUGGUAAGAGUAUAGACUCCUGUUGCCAACAGGCGGCAAUAAAACUAUGCCUGAAAAAUACCAUGGACAUGUACAUGCUAUUUUUCAGAUACAGCACAUCAAGUGUAACAUGCGAGUUCAAUGUGUGUUGGUUUGAGCACUCUUAAGGAUAAAGAAGAGCAGGAUGGAGAUGGACAAUUUCCUUAGGCAGCACAUUACUUUUUACCACUUCAGCUUAACAACAAUAGCAACCACAUGUCCUUGUUCUGACUCACAUGUGAAUGACCUAACCAAUCAGAAGCUAGAGGGACUGAUGUAAACGUACGGUAACCCGAUUCAACAUAUUAUUGUAGCUGUCUUAUCUGUGCUUCUGAAAAGACUUAAACAUGAAAAUAUGUAAAUAACUGUAAACAUGAACAAGUAAAUAGUUACCUGUGUAAACAUUACCAUUUAAAAUAAAUAAAAAUAACUCAAGAA
rnacentral:lncRNA from 1 species